rnacentral:rRNA from 1 species
UACAGAGGGUGCGAGCGUUGUCCGGAAUCACUGGGCGUAAAGGGCGCGUAGGCGGCGCGGUAAGCGUGCGGUGAAAGCCCGGGGCUCAACCCCGGGUCGGCCGUGCGGACUGCCGGGCUCGAGCACUGUAGAGGCAGGUGGAAUUCCGGGUGUAGCGGUGGAAUGCGUAGAGAUCCGGAAGAACACCGGUGGCGAAGGCGGCCUGCUGGGCAGUAGCUGACGCUGAAGCGCGACAGCGUGGGGAGCAAACAGG